rnacentral:rRNA from 1 species
UACGUAGGGUGCGAGCGUUAAUCGGAAUUACUGGGCGUAAAGCGUGCGCAGGCGGUUGUUUAAGUCAGCUGUGAAAUCCCCGGGCUCAACCUGGGAAUGGCAGUUGAGACUGGACGGCUAGAGUGUGUCAGAGGGGGGUCGAAUUCCACGUGUAGCAGUGAAAUGCGUAGAGAUGUGGAGGAACACCGAUGGCGAAGGCAGCCCCCUGGGAUAACACUGACGCUCAUGCACGAAAGCGUGGGGAGCAAACAGG